rnacentral:lncRNA from 1 species
AAUGGCUAUACACUGAGCUAGGGUAAAAACUAGUCAAGUAUAUUGGCCCAAUUAUCUCUGACUUUGCUACCAAAGCCCAGCAUCUACGCUCAUUAUACUCUACCACAUUCACCCCUGGUCAUAGAACUCACAUUCCUGCUUUAGGGUCAGUGUCCUAAUUUUUUCAUUGCCUAUUUUACCGCAAACAUCUAAUUAACUGGAACCUCUCUCUUUUAAAUUCCUCAGUCUUCGUGAUAACUUUUAUAAUGUCUUCAAUAAGCAGUAGACAGAUAUCUUUUUAAAUCACAAAGUCAGAAAACUUUGAAGGUUGAUCAUGAAUUAUCUUCAAUAUGAGAAGAGCAUGAAAAAGAAUACUUCCAGGAGCAAUAAAAUUUCCUCUUUGGAGAACUCUAAAAUUCACCAAUGUUGGAUUAAGGAAAUGAUAAGUGUUGAGAGCCACAGCAAAGGGGCCCCAGCAAAAUUCCAGCUGAUUGGCUCACGGUGGCCCCAGCAAACUUCCAGCUGCCAGCUGAUUGGCUCCUCUGCGGUGAUGCUCAUUGGGCUAUUUCCCCCGCCCUUUCAGACCAUGGAGCUGCUCAUUGGGGGAUUCUUUUGGCUCUGCCCAGGGACCCAGCCAACUGGCCUCAAGAGCAGGAGGAGUGGGGCGG